GGGCGCAGGAGUACCAUUAGCAACUUGAAGAAUUUCAGCCCCUGAGGUUCCAAAAACGAGCAGUGAUUAAGACUAGCCUGAAGACAUAUGCUGGCCGAACGAAGGGCAGAAGCCGUUUCCAUUGUAGGAGUGUUUUCUUUCACCAGGCGAACAAAAGACUCUAUUUCACACUCAGCCCAUUGUAUAAUCCGAUUUGUACAAGAGGGCGUGUCUCCGA
rnacentral:misc_RNA from 1 species